UGAAAUCAAACNGUGCCCGUUGCAGCUAGA
rnacentral:piRNA from 1 species